CCCCGAACACGGAAAAAAAAGGCGCAGUGGGGGUUCUGCUGUGUUUGCAAGUGAGGGUCGUGAGUGCAACGGGCGCAAGGCAUUAAGGCCAGUGUGUUAGUGCGCGGGCAGGCUCGCGUGGUGCUGGGGUUGCUGUGUGAGCGGCCCUCGUGGCUCGGGAGGUGCUGUGUUUGCGCAGGCGUGCGCCCCUGGCGUCGGGACUGGGACUCCGGAUUUCUGUGGCGACUGAGGCGCUCUUACCUUUGCGUCCUGAUCUCCAAGCAAGCACACUGACCUUCUUCAGGCAAAUACGCACUGUUAAUUUUCCAGAAAGUUCUGUGAGUAAGGUUUAUACCUCUCGAGUCUGCCACUAGAUGCCGCCAAAUCCCAGCAAAGGAUUGGCUGUUUGGUCCCUGGGAUUCUGGGAUUUUGUUUCCCUCCCCCCUCCCCUUUCUGAUUUGCUGAACGGUAAUAUCUAUAGGCAUCAUGGAUAUCGUUCAUUCCUAGGAAAAAAUAAAAUCAACUUCUGUAAAUAGCACUAGUAGGCAGGGGACUGUGACCCAAGAUCCAAAUAAUUUUGCUCAUUUCUUUCCUUUUCUCCUUGGGUUAAAAAAAAAAAAAGGCCCCUCUCCAUCCCUCUUUUCUUUUGUCCUUGCCUUGUUUAAUCAAAGAGUUAAUGAAUGACGCAAGCACUGAUGCUGAAGAUCCUAACCCUUUUUCCUCACCUUUUCAAAUGCUCGCAACUCACCCAAACUGAAAAUACAGAUAGCUGUUCCGUCAGUAAAGAUAGAUAAGAACUCAUCAGUAAAACCUGGACCCUGGUAUUGAAAACUGAUUUUCCUUUUCUCUUGAAAUUUGUAUCAGAUAUGUGUUUUUGCACCCUAUUUUCUGUAGUGGUAUUGGUAAACUUUAUUGUGUCUUUGGAGUAAGAGAAAGAGACCUAAUUGUAAACCUCAUUCCACCACUUACUAGUCUCAGUACCCUGGGCAAAUGAUUUAUGUUUUGUGAUCCUCAGUUUUUUUGUAUGCUUUCUAUAUUUUAGAUGCUGUGUUAUAUCGUUCACGUUGAUUUUUUUAUUCAUCACCAAGUCCUUAUUAGAUGAGCACUACUGGAUCAAAGUCAAACAACAAAAAUCAUACCCCUUUCAAUUAUCUAUCUUAUAUACUUGUACACCACACAGGAGGGAUUUUUUUAGAGCAGUGGUUCCCAAGGUGUGUUUCCUGGAUGUACCAGAAACAUCAGCGUCACCUGAAAAGUUGUCAGAAAUUCGGAUUCUCAGGUCCCACCUCAAACUUAAUGAAUCAGAAGUUCGCAGGGUGGGGUUUAGUAAUCUGUGUUAUUACAAACUAUCCCAGUGAUUCCAGCACACACUGAAGUUUGAGAGCCACUGCUUUGGAGAGUAGAAAUGCAAUGCAUAUUUUUGUACACACCACUAGAGGGUGCUACAGAAUGUAAAGCAAAAUAAUAAAUGAUGCACAGUAUAUGUUUUCAGACACCCUCUAUAUUAUCAGUCCUAUUUUACAGAUUAAAAACUAAUGUGUAGAUAUGUCAAAUUAUUUUCUUAGUGUACGCAACAAGUAUGGGAACCAGGAUUUGAACUUCACCUGCCUCUAGCCCAAGCCCCUAAUAGUACUCUGUUGUUUAACCAUGAUGACUUGUCUUUCCAAGCCUCAAAAUACAUUAGAAAUAUCUUGUUCCCUGCUUUGGCUAAUGUUGACUGGAGUGUCAAGAAGAGUGCAGGAAAGCAAACCAAGCUGUUGCAACCUCACCAGAACAGCUGAAGAAUGAAUUUCAGCCUGGACUCUACCUUAUUAGUUGGGCACCCUUGGGGAGGGUGCAACCUGCCCAACAUUUUCUGCUGGCCCUGUCUUACCUCAUGACUAAGAGAGCCUUCCUAGGUCUGGAAGGUAGCAGUCAGUCUGUUCUGGAGGGUGGAGAGAGACACCAGUGUUUUCCCAUGGUUUCUGGGUAGUAGAUAAAAUUGGUCUAUUCUAAGGUUAAUUUGAUAUUUUAAAAUUUUGAUUCUGACUAGCUUAUUGGAUUUUUUUGAAUAAUGUUUGAUUAAUGUAAAGGUUAAAAAUAAAACCUAAUAUUUCAGCUAAGCAAAUGGUAUUUCUUUAAUAAGGACGUAUUUCUAUCUAUUUAUACCUGCCUCAUUCCAUAGGAAUUUUAUAAAGCCAGUCCAGGAAUGUAGUCUGAAUCAAUCUAGUUUGCUAGCCUGUGAGACCAGGGCAAAGAUGAAAAUAGUCAUGGGAAAGUUUUAUCCUUUUAGGGGUAUCUGUCUUCUUCUAGUUCCUCUCUCCUCCUUUGACAAAUCCCCACCCCGAGACUGACCUACCCAUUUGACAGAAUGAGAUUACUUCUUCAAAUGACCCAAAACACUGAGAUCCUGAACCUAAUCAAUAAUGUCCUUGGAUGACCUUGGGAUGCCAGAUUCACACAUAAUUCCUUGUUGUCCCCUUCCUGAGUUAAUAGUUUAGCAUACAAUUUACCAAAAUUUGUAGUUUCCUGAGCCACAGACUUCACUUGGAAUGAUCAUAUAAAGUCAUCCAUGCUACAUACCAACCCACAGAAAUGAGGACCGCUUUCCUCCAGUGUAUGCUGAGUCCUACAAUCUGAGCACUGCUUCAAGAGGAUGCCUUGAGUCAUUUUUCCAGAGUUAAAUUUGCUUAUGCUUCUAACCUCCACCUACAGUCCCCGUUACACUGGGAAUGAUAAAAACUAUGCCUUUUGAAAAUAUAAGCUGUCAUGUUAUUAAAGAUGACAAACCAGUAGUAGUUAAAGUGCUGCAUCUAAAUUGUUGAAGCUUGUUACGUGGGAGUUCAUUAGACUGUUUUUCCUACUUUUGUGUAUUUUUGAAGUUUUCCAUAAUAAAACAUUUAAAAAGACAAAAAAAAAAA
rnacentral:lncRNA from 1 species